AACCGGGGGAACUGAAACAUCUAAGUACCCCGAGGAAAAGAAAUCAACCGAGAUUCCGAAAGUAGCGGCGAGCGAAAUUGGACUAGCCCUUAAGCUUUACACGCGUUAGACGAACGGUCUGGAAAGUCCGACGAUACAGGGUGAUAGUCCCGUAGUUGACGACGUGUGUUCAGUGAAAUCGAGUAGGGCGGGACACGUGAUAUCCUGUCUGAAUAUGGGGGGACCAUCCUCCAAGGCUAAAUACUACUGACUGACCGAUAGUGAACCAGUACCGUGAGGGAAAGGCGAAAAGAACCCCUGUGAGGGGAGUGAAAUAGAACCUGAAACCGUGUACGUACAAGCAGUAGGAGCAGGCUUUGUCCUGUGACUGCGUACCUUUUGUAUAAUGGGUCAGCGACUUAUAUUCAGUGGCAAGGUUAACCAUCUAGGGGAGCCGUAGGGAAACCGAGUCUUAACUGGGCGUUCAGUCUCUGGAUAUAGACCCGAAACCAGGUGAUCUAGCCAUGGGCAGGUUGAAGGUUGAGUAACAUCAACUGGAGGACCGAACCGACUAAUGUUGAAAAAUUAGCGGAUGACUUGUGGCUAGGGGUGAAAGGCCAAUCAAACCUGGAGAUAGCUGGUUCUCCCCGAAAGCUAUUUAGGUAGCGCCUCGGACGAAUACUACUGGGGGUAGAGCACUGUUAAGGCUAGGGGGUCAUCCCGACUUACCAACCCUUUGCAAACUCCGAAUACCAGUAAGUACUAUCCGGGAGACACACGGCGGGUGCUAACGUCCGUCGUGGAGAGGGAAACAACCCAGACCGCCAGCUAAGGUCCCAAAUUACUACUAAGUGGGAAACGAUGUGGGAAGGCUCAGACAGCCAGGAUGUUGGCUUAGAAGCAGCCAUCAUUUAAAGAAAGCGUAAUAGCUCACUGGUCGAGUCGGCCUGCGCGGAAGAUGUAACGGGGCUAAGUA
rnacentral:rRNA from 1 species